rnacentral:misc_RNA from 1 species
GUACCUGAAGAUGAUGAUGAUAUAGAUGAAGAUGCGGCUGAAGAUCUGCAGAAUCUAAUGGAACAAGAUUACGAUAUUGGCUCGACAAUCCGGGACAAAGUCAUCCCCCAUGCUGUGUCAUGGUUCACAGGCGAGGCUGCUGAAGGGGAUGAAUUUGAAGAUAUCGAAGGUGAUGAUGAUGAUGAGGAUGAAGAGGACGAAGAAGAGGACGAUGAUGAGGAUGAUGAAGAUGAAGAAGAGGAGAAGAGCAAAAAGAAGAAGAGUGGCAAAGCACAAGCUGGAGAAGGUCAACAGGGAGAACGUCCUCCCGAGUGCAAGCAGCAGUAGUUUGUGGUGUGUGCCCAUAACAGCUCAUGAACCCCAACCAUGUCAUUGCUUGUUGAUUUCGCGUUGGCCGUGUUUUUAUAUCUGCUCAUUCUUUGCUUUUUUUUUUCCAAUCUUCCUUUUUGUUUGGUUAUCAAUCUUGUAAAAUCUAAUGGGGCUUUGUGUGUUUGCUUGGGGUAAGCUUUUGCUUAUAACAAGAAUUUCAUAUUUAUGUCCUGUUCUUU